CCUACGGGCGGCAGCAGUGGGGAAUAUUGGACAAUGGGGGGAACCCUGAUCCAGCAAUGCCGCGUGUGUGAAGAAGGCCUUCGGGUUGUAAAGCACUUUCAGUAGGGAGGAAAGGUGCGUAGUUAAUACCUGCGCAAUUGACGUUACCUACAGAAGAAGCACCGGCUAACUCCGUGCCAGCAGCCGCGGUAAUACGGAGGGUGCGAGCGUUAUUCGGAAUUACUGGGCGUAAAGCGCACGCAGGCGGUUGCCCAAGUCGGAUGUGAAAGCCCCGGGCUUAACCUGGGAACUGCAUUUGAAACUGGGCGACUAGAGUAUGAAAGAGGAAAGCGGAAUUUCCAGUGUAGCAGUGAAAUGCGUAGAUAUUGGAAGGAACACCGAUGGCGAAGGCAGCUUUCUGGGUCGAUACUGACGCUCAUGUGCGAAAGCGUGGGGAGCAAACAGGAUUAGAUACCCCGGUAGUC
rnacentral:rRNA from 1 species